rnacentral:piRNA from 1 species
UGAACACAGGUGGCAAUGCGGCGCGAUU